rnacentral:tRNA from 1 species
UAUUUAUAUAGUUUAAAUUAAAACUUUACAUUUUCAUUGUAAAAAUAAAAAAAAUUUUUUAUAAAUAU